GUAGUGUGCAUCAAGCAUUGCGUUACUUUUCAGUAAAUUAUUAACUUUACAAAAAGAAGAGGGACAACAGUUAGAUAAUACUUUCUGCUAUAGGCACAAGUCUUAAUAUUGUCGGGUAGGGGUGCUAAUCCAGUACAUUUAUCCCUGUGUUCAACUGGUAUUUAUUUCAUCGACCCCGAAAAGAUAAAAUGCAAAGUCGACCUCGGCGGAAUUUCAACGGAGAUUGUAAAGACGAAAGCUAUGCAAUCAUUAUUAUUGACUUUCACGUAUAACCAAUAUUGUGGCUAGUGAACAACUCUGGCUGGCUUGGUAAUCCUACAUAAGAUAAAAUACUAGUCUAAUUACAUUCAUUUACACAUAUGUCAGUAACGCAAGCGUGUGAAUCAAUUAAAAGUGUUUCACAGGCGCCUCCUCCUAUAGCUUUAAAUUACACACUUCCUGCAAUGUUUACAUGUGGCUAAAUGAACGUGGAAUGACCCUGUUCAGUUUUUAUCGAACACUUAGUUAUGGACACAUAAAAACGGAGAUUACAUAGCAGAAUCUGUCGACCGCUAUUCUAGUUGUCUUUUAGGCUAUCGAUUCGGCAUAUCCACAGUCAUUUAAAAUGGGCUGCUGCGAAAUACAGCGUGGAUUCCAUAGAAGAUUAGAUAAGAAGCCAAUGAAUUAAGUCUAGUCUGCAACCUAUUUUCAUUUCUCACCAGAAGCCGAAUAGUCUCAGUUAUAAAAGAGUAAUUUUCUCUUUAACAGUACAUAAAUAUAAUAUCAGGAUUUUGUCUGAACCACAAAGAACUGCAAACAACAAAACCAAAAAUUUUGUUUUUUUUGUUUGUCCACAUAGGCGGCGGGUUCAAUAAUAAUAAUAAAAAUAUUAAUAAUAAUAAUAAUAAUAAUAAUGAUGAUAUUUCAUUUAUUUGCCAGUAGGGGAAAGGCGAGGGAGCAAUACAAAGACAGACAUAAUGAAAUGAUGAAAUAAUUAAAUGAAAAAAGAAACAAAAAUAAUAAUAAGUAUACUCGGUAUACAAAGAAAAGGAAGGGAAAUAUACAUAGUGUAGAGAGAUUUGAAGAAAAAAAAGUGUGGGACGGAAGGAUAGAGAUGAGCCCUCUUGAUACAGGAUGACCUCUAGAGAUAAUCGAUGAACCCCACUGUCCAAGAUACCCCUGACCACCAAUUGUAAUAAUAAUCCUUUGUACUAUAGACACAAUGUCUGAAAUUUUGUGGAAGGGACUAGGCGAUUACAUCGCCCCCAGUGUUUCACUGGUACUUAAUUUAUCGACCCCGAAAGGAUGAAUGACAGGGUCGACCACGGUGGAAUUUGAACUUAGAAUAUAAAAACGGACCAAAUGUCGCUAAGAAUUUUGCCCGGUGGGCUAAAGUCUCUGCCAGCUCGCCACAUUACCAAUAAUAAUAAUGAUAAUAAGGAUUUCAAAUUUUGGCACAAGGUCAGCAAUUUUAUAAUGAUAAUAAUGCAAUACUAGAUAAUGUCUGUCAUGUACAUAUAAGCACAUCCAAUCAGUUAAGACCAGGUUGCAUGUGUUAGCAUGUGUUAGGCAAUAAUCCGCAUACCACAUAUAGGAAUAAGGAACGAAACUGAAUCAAAUCAACAGCAGGAACAAGAACAACAACAAUUGAGAUGCUUGGUAUCUCAAUUGUCAGUAUCUUCAAGAUGCAAAAUCUUGUUGGCCUUGUUGAGACAUGAGAACAAAUUGCAGAAAUUAAAAGACAGCCAAAAUGUAAUUAUAAUAAUAAUGAUAAUAAUUAUGAUAAAAAACAUAAUUCUUUAAAAUUUUGGCACAAGUCCAGGAAUAUAACCGGGGAAUUUCAUCGAUACCGUCGACCCUAGUUAUUUAUUGGUAAUUUAUUGAUUCCCAAGGAAUAUAAAGUCAAGCUAGCCUCAGUGGAAUUUCGACUCACAGCAUAAAGAGCCAGAAGAAAAUUGCCGUUGACUAUUUUGUACGACGCGCUAGCAAUUCUACUAACUUGCCGCCUUAAUAAUUAUCAUAUUUUCUGCUUUAAGUACAAAGACCAGCAGUUUUGAGAGCUGCAGAUUAGUGAAUUAUAUCGAUACCAGUACAUGACGGGUACACCAUUUUAUCGACCCCGAAAGGAUGAACGGCAAUAUUGGCAUCGUUCGGAUUUGAACUCAGAACGUAAAGUCAGAAGAAAUGCCGCUAACCAGUGCGGUUACGAUUCUACCAACUCACCAUAUUAAUAUUAACAUUAACAAUGACAACAAUAGCGGAUUGAAAUUUUGGCACAAUGCCACAAAUUCCAGCGGGGGUGGGUGGGGUGGAUACAUCGAUUACUUCGGCCCCAGUGUUUAACUGGUAACUGUUUCAUCGACCCCGAAAAGAUGAAAUGCAAGGUCGACCUCGGCAGAUUUCGAACUCAGAACGUAAAGACGAACGAAAUGUCGCUAAGUAUUUACCCGACGUGUUAAAGAUUCUGCCAGCUGGCCGCCUUAACAAUGAUAAUAAUGACGCUGAUGAUGGUGAUAAUGAUGAUGAUAAUAACAAUAGACAUUUUUAUUGAUGUCUAAUAACCCCAUGGCCAUCCUGAUCGAUCCCAACUAUGAUCAAAGAUUUUCCAGCCGUGACUUAUAUUCACAUAUAGUCUACGUAAGUCAAAGUAAUCCAAUAAUUCUUUCUUUUUAAUCAUAUGAUGUGGUUUGAGGAGAGUUGACCGAGUGACCGUGUUAAGGAUAUCUCUGCUCGUUGGCCCUUUGAAUUGAAAUACGUAGAUAGGUGAUAGACAGAAGAAGCACUGGAAGAAGAUAAUUCGCUCUGUGAGACAUUCUCUUAUGCAUUCACCUACACUCAUCAUCCAAUCACCACGGCUGACAGAUAACGAUUUUCCGUUUGUUGAAUAAGAAAGGUCAAUUAUAUGAGACUAUUAUGUAUCGAAAAACGGUGUUGGAUAAAGAGUCAGAUUUAACUGAAUGGCGACACUGAAAUAUUCUACAUGAAAUCAGGCAUGUAUGCUGUACUUUGAGAUAUCUUUAAGCUGUUAUUAGAUUCAAAGUGGUCACUGACAGUUGAAGUGUUUUACAUAGUAUAAAUAUGUAUUUUAUUAUUUAGUUUUAUUUCUAGAUUUCUCGCCAACGGAAAUAGAGGCAGUUUCUAACCUGCAACCAAGGCUCUUUCAUUAGCAUUUUAAUGUCAUCAGCAAGGUCAGGUGUAGUUGUACGUGUGGAUAUAGGAAGUAUGUUUUGUCAGUAAGUGUGCAGAGCUGUGCCUGCUUUAUGCAUAUGAUUCAUAAAUGUAAUUGAAUGUCUAGUUACUCCUGUAAAGUCUUACAUAUCUUCUUUAUAUGUGUGUGAAUAUAUGCAAGUAUGUACGCGUACAUACAUACAUACAUAGACACUCAUAUAUAUCAUAUAUGUGACCUCGUGAGUACCGCUGGCGAUUUUUUUCCUCUGUCUUCCCUUCUCGGGAUCUUUCCUUCUCCUUUGUCUCCGACGAAGAGCUCCGCUCGAAACGUUAAACCCUCCUUCUUCCCUUCUUUCCUGAGCGUCCAAUAAUACUUUAUUUGUUCCACGUCCUCGCGUUGUUGUUUUUUUGUGUUUUCUUGUUUGGAUUAACUUUAUAUAUAUAUACAUACAUGCAUACAUACAUACAUAUAUAUAUAUAUAUAUAUGAGCGCCAUACUAAUAGAAUUGUUUGUUUGUUUCCCACCUGCCUUCGUCUUUUGUCUAUUUUCAUAAAGCUUCCCGUUAUAUAUGAUAUGUGUAUAUGUAUGUAUGCAUACAUAUAUACGUACAUAUACACAUAACACACACACACACACAUAUAUAUAUAUAUAUAUAUUAUUCAAAGAAGUUCCAACUCUGUGUUUUUUAUGUCUUAUAUUCUUUAUAAUAUUAAUGUAGAAUAUAGAAUAUAUAGUAUAAAUAAUAUAUAUAUAUAGUAAAAUAAAAUGAAGUAUUGACUGUCUUAUUGAACAGAUGAAAUGUUGAAUAAAAAAUAUCAGGGUACUAAUAUACUUUCAUGCAUUAUAGCAGUCUUCAAGGUCCCAGGUUGUAACAGUAGUGUUUCAACAGUUUUAUUUCAAGAUUUCUCGCCAAUAGAGAAAGAGCCGGUUUCCAAUUUAGAUCGAAGUAACUUUUUGGGGGAAUUUGAACAUCAACAGGGUAAUUUUGCAUGUAUUCAUGUAGGUGUAGAGUAUUUGGAGUAUGCAUGUAUAUAAGUAUGUAUGCAUGUAUAUAAGUAUGUGUGUUUGUAGGUAUGACAGAUCACUUGUAAUGCCUCUUGUGCGUACUAUCUCGAGUACCACUGUUAAAAUGGUAUCCAUUACAAUCUAUAGCAUGACCGGGUCGUCAAUGACUAAAACGUCACCGCACCAGGCUAGCCUGGUCUUCCUUGAAGAGGAAGCGGACGAAAAAACAUGACCUGUCAAAACGACAGAUGAAUCCAGUGUAGGUAAAUCGACCACCUACGAAUAGCACGGGCAAUCGAUUAUCUAGGAAUCCGACUAUCUAGGAAUAGCACCGGUUUUUGGUGUCCGGCUUGAUAGGAAUGAGGUGUCCUCAGUGUUUUUUUAAAGCAUGUCGCUAGGAGACAGUCAUUCUGAUAUUGAGCCUGAUAUGCAAUGAAUGGCACUGGAUAAUUCGAGAAUCUUUUACUUGCACUUGAGUUCAUAACACCCCCAUAUUACACACACUACGACCUAUCUUGGCAUUAGAUAUCCUGCCUUGAUUUGACUCUAGGUAAUGCCAAUAGGGAAAAGAGGGUCUACGAGGUAUUGUGCAAUCCUUAUUGGAACCACAAUUUUGGACAAGCAUUGCAUUGCCAGUGAAGAAUGUACUCAUUUGCAAUUUAGCAGCCAUCAUCUAUGUAUAUAGUAAUGUAUGUAUAUGUGUGCAUGGGUGGGUAUGCACGCAUCUGAAUGUUCAGUUUUAUUUCAAGAUUUUUUGCUAAUAGAGAUAGAGACGGUUUCUAACCUAGAUCAAAUGCUUCUCCAUUGGAAGCUCAACAUCAAAAGCAAGGUAUUUUUGUAUGUAUGUAUGUAUGUAUAUGUGCAGAUUUGUAUGUUUCCUUUUAUGUAUGUAUUCUCAUGUUUAUAGUUGCAUAUGUAGACAUGCUCAUACAUAUUUAAAUGAUAAACUUCUAGAAAGUUUCUUUACAGGUUUUUACCGUUCCAGUGAUUGACUGAAUCUGUAGCCAUCUAAUUGUAUUAUGUAUGUAAUCUGUAUGUUUGUAUGCAUGUCUGUACGUAUGUAUGUAUGUAUGUAUGUAUGUGUAUGUGUGUGUGUAUGUAUGUAUGUAUGUAUGUAUGUAUAUAUGUAUGUACGUACGUACGUACGUAUGUAUCUAAUAUGUAUGUAUGUAUUAUGUAUGUUUGUAUAUGUAUGUAUAUAUGUAUGCAUAUAUGCAGGUAUGUAUCAUACGUAUGCAUACAUGCAUGCAACCGUGUAUGUAUGAAUGUAUGGGUGGAUGGAUGAAAGCCUGUAUGUGAGUACUUAUGCAUUCUAUGUCUGUAUAGAGAGGAAAAAUGGAGGGUUGGAUGAAUGAAUGGACAGACGGUUGGAAUGAUGCAUACGUAUACGAAAGUAUGGAUGCAUGACUAUAGGUAUACAUAGAUGUAAUUGUUAAGUACGUAUGGAUGCAUACAUGUGUAUAUCCACAUGAGUAUAUGGAUAUGAAUGCAUUUCAUGAUUAUGUGGCGGCGACAUAUGUACUGACAUAUAAUAAUACCCCCUUCUAGUGUUGACAUGUCUUUGGUUAUGAAAUGAUAUCUUUGACGUCUUACGUACGCAGCAGUUGUCCAGGCAUAAUGUAACUGAUAAAUUACAAACGCUGUUACAGUCGUAGACUCAUACAUCAUACAUGCUUAUAUAUAUGUAUGCAUAUAUAUAUAUAUAUAUAUAUAUAUAUGUGUGUGUGUGUAUAUUUAUAACUACAGACAUAACAGUCAGAAAAUCAGGCAGACGGAGAGACACGUGCGCAUAUACAUGUGUACAUGUUCAUACCUACAUACAUACAUUCAUAUAUGCAUAUAUAUAUAUAUAUAUAUAUAUGAGAAAUUUAUGAACACGCAAGAAUGUUGAACAUAUAUGUGAUAUUAGUCUUGGAUGAAUCAUAAUUAUAUAUACUUAGAGCUCUCUCUGUCUAUGUAUAUAUAUAUAUAUAUGCACCUGUCUGUGUGUGUGUGUGUAUAUAUAUAUAUGCAUGUGUGUGUGUACACACACAUAUACACCAGAGUAAACACAUAAAUAUGAAACCAGUUCGGAAAAAUAGUACUCGAAUACCGGAGGUAGAAUAAUAUGCUUUAAUAAAAAGCAGCAAAAACAUCAUAAAAACAGUGAUAUUUUUGCUUUUUUUUAAUAUAUAGAAAAAUGUACAGGCGGAGCAAAGGAGCAACUUCGAUAAUAUAACAUGAUGUGAAAAAAUAUAAUGAAUUGUGAAUCUGUUGGAAGUGUUGGUUGCCUUAUUAAUCAGAAUACCUUCUUAUGAACUAGAAUACUUAGGAAUGUAAAAGAAGUAGAAAAUCUACUGCGAACAUGUCUAUAUGGAUUAUCAUUCAUUCAUACAUGUUUUUGAUUGCUGAGCACGAAAGAUUUCCCAUUUUUUCCGCUAUACAUUGUACACGUGCUUGGGAUAAAUAAAUAUGGUCUCCUUUUAUCCUUCUUUGAUUGCAUUUUAUACGGCAAUACCCUUUCAUAUAUAUAAGUAUACACACAUAAAUGUUUAGUAAAAAGUUUAACUUUUAUAUACGUGUAUAUAUAUAUAUAUAUAUAUAUAUAUAUAUACAUACAUAGGUGCAGGCUUGGCUGCCUGUUAAUUUGCUUCACAGCCACUUGAUCCUGGGUUCAAUUCCGUUGAGUGGCACCUUGGGCGACUAUCUUCUACUACAGCUGCGGGUCAAGCAAAGCCUUCUGAAUGAGUCUGGUAGACGGAAACUGAAAGAAGUCCGCCAUACACUCUCUCUCUCACACACAUACAUAUAUAUUUAUAUAUAUGUAAAAUAAUUACUAUGAAGUAUUGUGUAGAAUAUAUUGAUCGUGGUUAAAGCCAAAACAAUGCGAAGUAAAUGCAAAGUAAAUCAUAAGCAAACAAAUAUGGGAAUUAAUGUACACUAACCUUGUAUUCAAUAUUUCGUGGUUAUGAACCCAUUUUCAAGAAAUUGACUAAUGAUGCCAAUGUGCGUGUGUAUGUGGGCGUGUGUGGAGCGGACACGCGCAGAAUAGUGUUGCCAUAGCAACCAGAUAGCUUCACGUAACUCCCUUCUAUUGUUGAUUUUAGGUUUCUUUUGGUGUAUGAGGAUGGCUUCAGAGAUUCUAAGGUUGCCUCUGUUCCGUUGUGCACUAUGAAUUCCUGGGUCUUGCAUUUCCGUUGAUUCUUCACUUUAAAACAAAAAAUUUGAUCACUUUGAUCCAUAUUUUACUCGACUGUGUCCUCUUAGCCAUUUCAUAUUAAAAAAAAUAAUACGUUUUCAUAAUUAAAUAUUAUUAAGAAUUGUAUAAGAUUAAAAAAAUUGUUAAAACAGGCGCAGGCAUUGCUGUAUGUUAAGAACCUUACUUCCCCAGCACACUGUUCAGAGUUCAGUCCAACUGGGUGAGAUUUUGGGCAAGUGCUUUCUUCUGUAGCCUCGGGCCGUCUAAAGCUGUGUCUUUCUGUCAAUCUGUCUGUGUGUGUGUGUGCCUUUGUGUCUGUGUUUUCUCACCAACGAGAUAACCGGUGUUGGUGUGUUUCCGACCCUGUAACAUAGCGGUUGCCCCCACCCCCAAAUAAAACGAUACAAUGAGUACUAGGCUUUUAAAAAAUAAGUUCUUGGGGAAGUUUGUUCGACUAGCGGUGCCCAUCAUGGCGGCUAUCAAAUGACUGAAGCAAAUAAAAAGGAAUGUAAUCUAGAAGUAUACCAAGUUUAUUGCAUAUAAACAGAAUCUUAUAUCGACGCCCAGGGGCCAUAUAGAUCCUGGUUGACAAUCACUAGUUUUGAGAGAGGAUGAGAAGGAAUUAACACAAGAAUUGCAGAAAACCUUCUGAAAAAAUACACGUAGGAUUGGCUGUGUGGUAAGUAGUUUACUUACCAGUUUACUUACCAACCAAAUAGUUCCAAGUUCAGUCCCGCUUCGUGACAUCUUGAGCAAGUGUCUUCUACUAUAGCCUCGGACCGACCAAAGCCUGUAUAUAUAUAUAUAUACAUACAUGUAUAUGUGCGUCUGUGUUUGUCCCCGUCACCAUCGGUUGAUAACCGAUGUUGGUGUUUUUACGUCCCACUAACUUACCAGUUUGGCAAAAUACACCGAUAUAGUAAGUACUAGGCUUAGAAAGUAUGUCCUGAGGUCGAUUUGCUUGACUAAGGGCGGUGCUCCAGCAUAGACACAGUCAAAUGACUGAAACAAGUAAAAGAAUGCGUUUUUACCACGGAAGAGUUCGCCAUUAAGUUGAUGAAAUUUAGAAAAUUAAUAACUUGCUUAUUGCAACUAUAAAAAUGAAAAAUUCAUAUUAUUUUAAUUCUAUUUUAAGGUGAGAACAAAAUUUCUUCGGAAAAUUAUUAUGCAUUUCAUCAUUUUGUAUAAGCAAUAAGAAAUUCGUUUUCAAUGUUUAAUAAUAAUCAUUGUAUGAAUGUCCCACUUCCUGAUUGGUUCCAGAACAGCACUAAUAUACUUCGAAAUAUACCGGUCUUACGAUGAGUAAUAUUGUAGUUUCAUUAUGUCAGCUUAGAAAUUUUAAAAAAUAAAUUGCAAUCCCUCAUAUUCAUAUACCAUACCUUUCGAGGGACCAAAUACUCUGUGUUAAAUUUUAACCUGUAAUAGUUAAAGUCAUGGUCUAUGUUAUUCCACAAGUGUCAAUACGGUAGACAUACAUCGCCGCGUUUAUGCAAACGGUUACAGGCAUAAAGAUGUAGAAGGCGUACAGAUGCAGGCAGAUGUAACGCUAUGCUGGUUGUCAAUGCACGUACAGUAGGGAGCUUACAGAGACACACGCUUCUAUCAAUCUGUCUGUCAGUCUAUCUAUCUGUCUAUCUAUCUAUCUAUCUAUCUAUCUAUCUAUCUAUCUAUCUAUCUAUCUAUCUGUCUAUAAUAUAUAGAUAUAUCAUAUAUACAUAUAUACAUAUGCACAUACACACACACACACACACACACAUAUAUAUAUAUAUAUUUAUAUAAACAUAUGUAUAUAUAUACACAUAUGUAUGUAUUUAUCUAUCUAUAUAUAUACGUGUAUAUAUAUGUAUCUAUAAAUGUAUUCCUGUAUAUAUAUAUAUAUAUAUAUAUAUAUAUAUAUAUAUAUAUUUAUACCGACAUUCAUAUAUACAUGCAUACAUAUACGUAAUAGGUAGUGUAUUGCUGACAUGCUUAACCUAGAUUUUCUAUGUUAAAGCAUAUUACUUAGGAAAUGUGCCUGACUGCAUUCCAUGUCAGUUUUCCAACAUUUUAUGUGCUGCAGUUGUAUUUCUUUCAUACAAAUCUCAUUCUCACACUCUCUUCCGUAUGUGUGUACGCACAUACAUACAUACAUACAUACAUACAUACAUACAUACAUACAUACAUACAUACAUACAUACAUACAUACAUACAUACAUACAUACAUACAUAUCUAUCUAUCUAUCUAUCUAUCUAUCUAUCUAUCUAUCUAUCUAUCUAUCUAUCUAUCUAUCUAUCUAUCUAUCUAUCUAUCUAUCUAUCUAUUUGUCUGUCUGUCUGUCUGUCUGUAUAUCUAUAUCUAUAUCGAUAUAUAUAUAUCUAUAUAUAUCUAUCUAUAUAUAUGUGUGUGUAUAUAUAUGUAUACACACACACACACACACAUAUAUAUAUAUAUAUAUAUAUAUAUAUAUAUAUGUAAUACGUGUAUAUGCCUCUGUAUGCAUACAAACACAUUGAAUGUAAGAAAUGCACGAAGGUGUGUGUUUUUUGCCGAUGUAAUAAUCGUAGUGGCAGUGGACAGAACAGCGUGUAGAUAUACGAUAAAUAUAUUGUAUGUGUGUCUAGUAGGAAUGGAAGAGUGAAGUAGUUAAUGAGGAACGGUUGACUGACGAACAGCAGAGUGAACGAUGAGAUUCUGACUCGCAGCUCUUUUUGUGUAGGCCACUGAAAUCGAUAAGAGAGAAGAGAGAAAAAGAGAGCGGAGAGUGAGAGAAAGGGAAGCCACAGGAUGGAGAGAGCAAUUCAUAACGAAGAGCCUACACAUGCACACAGACACAUACAAUCACACAAACACACAUACACACAUAUAUAUCUAUGCACGCAGGCACACGUUGAGAGGAUGAGAGUUAGAAGUGGGAGAUUGGGAGAAUCGAUCGAUCGAAAGUAAAAUACUUAGAUCAUAAAUUGAUGGAGAGUGUUUUUUUCAUUAUUAUAACAAGGAACUACAUACGUGUAAGUGUGUAUGUAUGUAUAUGUGUGUGCGUGCGUGAGUGUGCGUGAGCAUGUGUGUGUGUGCGUGUAUAAUAUGCAUGUUACUAUAUAUUUAUGCGUAUAUAAAUGUUUAUAUAUAUUUAUAUAUACGUAUGUGCAUUAUACAUUUACACGUGUGCACGCACACACGCAUAUAUGUGUGUAUGUACAUGUGUAGGCGUGGGUAUAUAUAUAUAUAUAGAUAGAUAGAUAGACAGAUAGCUAGCUGAUCCAAUUCAAACUCCAGCAUGGCCGCAGUCUAAUAACUGAAACAAAUGAAGGAUAAAAGAUAAACGAGAUUUGUGUGUGUGUCUGUGUGCGUAUGGGUAUGAAUGUAUGGCAUCUUUUUUUGGUUUUUGAAUUUACGUAACCAGGAGCGAUUGAGGAUUCUCCUCAGCUGUAACCACUUGCUAUGAACAUAACCCAUUGCAUUCAGUUCUAAAUUUGAUUUUUGUAUGAAGAUACGCACACACACACACACAGACACACACACACAUGCACACACAAUAACUUUGAAUAGUAAGAAGAGUUAGAACGACAAUGACCUUAAUAUAAUCAUUACAGCAUAAAGUAAUGAAAUCUAACAAUCGUUUCUUUAGGCUACACACACGUAAGCUUCAAAAAAUCUAUUUGUACAAUCAAAUCUAUCAAUUGUUUUCCAAAUAUAUAUUUAUUCGAAACUCUAAAAAAAAUCCAGAACGUGUACAAUCAACUCGUAUCUUUAAGAUGAUUGCAGUUCGAUAAGGUAUGUAAAAGGAAAAAAAGAAAAUUAAUUUGUUGUGGAGACACGCAUUAUAUUAAAACGAAGCCGAGCCUUAAAUUUGCAGUGACGAUAUGUUUUGCUUUAAGACUAGUGAAUGAAUAGCUUAGAACCACCAGUUAUCUGCUAUGUGUCAACAAUAACGUAACCAGUCCAGAUGCUGAGCACUUGUUGCUUAGAUUAUCGUUUUUUUUUAAAAAAAGAUAUUCCAACUGAAUAAGUUUAUAGACACAAAAAAAACGGAAGGGCGAACAGUAAGGAGAUUGUUUGGCUAAAAUUAUGAGGAACAAAGAAAAAAGAGAGCGGUGAUGACGAAGACUAAAAGGAGGGCAGUGAUGACGACGACUAAAAGGAGGGCAGUAUGGUGCUGGAGGAGAUAAAAGAAUGUAAAAUAGAACAUAAUUGAAUGGGUCAGGAGGAUUUCAUUAGUGUGUUUAGAUGGAGCCAUGGCAAGCAGGUAGGUAGUCUAGAUGAGACGAAACUAUUAUAAAUACAAUAGAAAGUAUUGGGAAGAAGAGGUCAACGACGGGCAUUUCUAUUUGAAGUCACUUCUGAGCUGAUAGGAUGAAUAUGAGAAAUAUAGGAAGGUCAGUGUUAAUCGAUUAUAUCGGUUCUUCAUAAAUUUGUAGCCCCGUGCUUAAAUUAGAUGUUUAUACUUUGGAAGAUCAUGAUAAAAAAAAAAAUGGCAUAUGUAACUAGUGCUAACGCUUUGGCUUAAUAAAGAAACAUAUUCUUGUUUUGCAUUGAGAAGCAAAGUGAAAUCAAACAGUGUAACGAAGAUGUAUUUCUGAAAAUAAAAUGAGAAAAAACAAAAUUAAGACGCAUUUAUUGGUUGUCUUUCCAUUAGUGAUAAAGUCCGUAUAUUUUAGAAUAAGAUUUCAUGAAAAGUGAAAUAAAUUUAACUGAAUGACUAGAAUGUUAAAAUUAGGUUCGCUUGCUCUUCAACAGAUUAUAGAAAAAUACAUGAUUCCUUUCAGACUUUGUUGUUUGACAAAAUCCCGAAACGUUACGCAUUCUACUCGCCAUACCAGUCAAGUCUCUUCCGCAGUCCACGAAGGCUUCAUCUGACUAAUUGUUAUCCACGCAGUCAUUCUCCAUUUUCCUUGCAUUCUCAGAAUAUUUCUCUAGCAUUUUUGGAAGGAUGGAGGUAAUUUGAUUCGUUUGGCUUUCAUAAUAUUCUUCUGGGGCGCUUUUGUGCUUUAAGAGUUUCCUUUCCAAGAAAUCUAAACUAGUACAAGCUCUCAACAGGUUAGGAAGCCCUAGGAUUUAAUGGGUACCAUAUCAGUGGUACCCACCCAUUAAAUACUAAAAACUUCAAACGGCCAUGCAGUUAUAAAGCAUGCAGUUAUGAUGCGUGCAUUUAUAAAGCAAGGUUUGUUUCGCUUCCUUUUGUUUCAAUGGCUUCAGUAAAGUUAUUGUAUGUUGAAAACCCCUCAUUCAAGCUAAAGUUAAUUAAAUCGAUCAGAGUAGUUAUUCAAUUAACUGGUAAUUGAUAUUUUGACCUUGCAAAAAUUAAAGACAAAGCGGACUUAGGCAGUGUUUAGCUCAGAACAUUACAAAAAAAUUGUAUUCUGUUAGUCAUUCAAUAAUGAUCCAUCCAUCCAUCCAUCUAUCCAUUCAUCGAUCCAUUGGUCUAUCCAUCCAUUCAUCCACUUAUUCAUCUAGCCAACCGUGCGUCCACCCAUACAUCCACCCAUCCUAAUUUCCCUCUCUCCUUCCAUCCGGCCAUCUAUCCCAUCCACGCCCAUCCUAUAAUCCAUCCAUCCAUCCAUCCAUGAAGCCAUCUAUCUAUACUUCCAACAAACAUUUAUUUCAUCCCUUCAACCAUAAUCACAAAAUAUAUCCCCACUAUUUAUGAUGUUCUUGUUUUCCCCAAAAUCCGCUCUAGUGGAGCAGAUCAAUGUUGACAUGUUGCUUUCCGGCUGUGAACAUGUGACCACCGUGUAUACAUAUACAUAUAUAUAUAUACAUACAUCAUGUACAACAUAUUCUCCAAAGUAAUCUGACCUUCCCACUUCAUGUCACUGUAAUAGAAGAAUGCACGCAUACCUAUAUAAAUGCUUCAUAGCAAUGUGGCUUUCAUUUUAAUUUGACAAGACGGGUGUCUGCGUGGAAACAUCACUCGCUGGUUCGUAGUGAAAUGGUGGGAAGUUGCUUAACCUUGUGGCAUUGAAACUUCAAAUAGAUAUCUAACCCUGCUAUCUCCUAACUUAAGGGAAUUCAUGUCAUUUACGCUAUUAGCUAUUUUAAGCUAAGUGUACUUGAAUAAACUGCGGAUCGAAGCAAUCAGAUGAUCUCUACACGCAAAGAGCAUGGCCAUUGAUCUAUGGCGCGAGAUACUACCAGUAUUCGAGCAAAAUGGAAAUAUAAAACGAAAAUUGAUAAUAAAUUAAGUAAGGGAAAAAAACAGAAGCAAGCAAACAGAAAACUCCACGUAGCUUUUAUAUCAUACAAUAAACAGUGGCACUUAGCUCGGUGUUGUGUUAACGAUCACACAUCGAAAGCGUAAAGCUAUGCUUGUAUGUUCGUUUAUAUCUAUAAUAUGGAUGUAUAUAGACAUGCCUAUGUAUGUCGGUGAGAGUGGGUGAUACGUGUGUGAUAGCUCGUGAGUAUAUGUAUAUAUAUAUAUGCGUACGCACAAACAAUCACGUAAACGUACCAACACACAAAUAUAUGAACAUAAACACAUAUUCAUAGCUUCACACGCACACACACACACACACACACACACACACACAUAUGUAUAAAUAUAUAUAUGUAUAUGCAUAUACCUGUAUAUAUAUAUAUCGUUUAUGUAUGUAUGUAUGUAUGUAUGUAUGUAUGUAUAUAUAUAUAUAUACAUAUAUAUAUGCACACACAUGAUCGUUAACGCUGUAAGUGCGCGUGUAUUUGUAUAUAUAGACUAUGAUUGUGUGUGUGUGUGUGUGCAUACGUGUGUGUGAGCUCAUAUGUGGUGGCAGUAUAACUCUAUGAUAUUGCUCUGCACGGAGAAAUCUCAUGAAUAUUAAAUGAAAAUCUUGCUUGGUAGCCGUUAAUUAUAAACAAAGACCACACAGAAGAAAAUGUAUAAUAAUGCACUCGUAAAAUGGGCAAUGCUAGCCUUGUUAAUUAUGCAUGCAUACACACUCGAUACUGAGGCAUAGAUAGAUAGAUAGAUUGAUAGAUAGAUUGAUAGAUAUGGAAGGAAUUCAACAGUGAGAUUUAAAAAGAUAUACAUAUGCACGCGUGCGUGUGUGAGUGUAUAUAUAUAGAGAAAAAGAGACAAAGAAAAUGUGAGCUGAAUUAACAGAUAAGUUGGAUACAUGAUUUUAUUGGUGACUGGAGGGAUUGUGGAGUCAUAAAUUGACAUAAAUUCAAACGUAUUCAUAUACGCAUGCAUAGAAAUACUCAAUCACGUAUAAAGAUACAGACGUGCACACGUUGGCUUCUCUCUCUGUCUUCUCGCUCACCCAAUUUUUACUUGAUGUACGUCGAUAGGGAGAGGCGUCAAGAAACUUGUAGAAGGAAAUAUACGUAGGUAUGCGUGCAUUCGUCAAUUACUUUGAAUACAACAAAUGUACAUGUUUCAUUCCAGCAGGAGUUUGUCAAGCAUUAACUAGUUUUAUGUAUGCUUAUAGAGUUAAUGCUUACGUAUAUCGGCUCAUAUACAUGUAUGUAUAUAUACAUAGAUUUGUGUGUAUACGUACAUGUGAGCGUGUAAUUUUGUGAGCCUGGGAGCGUGUUUAUGAGAAAUGUGUGGGUUGGGGUUGGCAAAUAUGUUUCCUUUCAAAUUUCUAUAUAUAUACGGUCUCUUUACUUUCACUUUCAUCCUAUCUACCUAUCUAUCUUUCCCUAUACCUACAUAUUUAUGUGUAUAUACGAUUGUAACUAUGAUUGCAUGCAUGCAUGUAUCUAUGUACAUACAUACAUACAUACAUACAUAUACAUAUAUACAUACAUACAUACAUAUAUAUAUAUAUAUAUAUGAUUAUAGCAUAGGAAAUGUUUAUUCUCAAAAGAAUCAUUUCAAGUACUGCCUUACCCAUUUUCCAACAAUUGUGGAAUAAGGAACUCUCAGAACUUAAUCAAAUCUUUUAGGUCAUUGACCCUCUAUCCAUUCGUUUUGUUCAUCGUUGGUUUGUGGACAUGCUCUUUCUCAUUGUAGUUUCUUAUUUACCGUUGGAAUUUAACGCUUUUUUUUUUCUGAAAGUUCUUUCUCAUUUUUGCGUCCUCCUCCCUUUCGAUGGGUUGAAAAGAUUUCUGAGCAAGCGAUUCCCUUUUCUUAUCUCUUGGCAACGAAAUUAUUCCGCUGCUGGUUAGUGUUGCGGAAAUAUGACUUUUUACUGUUACUCGGGACACACCAUUUCCGUUCUCACUCACACUCAACGCUGGCAACAGUUGAAAGAAUGGAUUUCUUGGAUUCCAAGUCAGACUCUGCGACUGACAACGGAGACUUCGACUGCUGAAACGAUAAACUUUCGGCUCCUUAUUGCUAUUUUCGUCCACGUUGUAUUUUUUGUGUUUUUCUUGCAUUUUUCUUUUAAUUUUUCGGGAUAAACACCCCUCAAGUUACUCGUUCUGCCACAUGUAAAACAGAUUUUUCCAUACACCGUAUAUCUCGCUGGUCGAUUUUCUGUUCAAAUUUAAUGGCCUUGUGAUAUUGUGUGUAUCAUAACGAUUCGGACGCCCAUACAAGCCCUUAGACCCUCAUUUUAAUUAAGAUAUUUUGAGGUUUGAACAUUAGCUUUGUGUAGUGGCUUUUACGGUAUCGAUAGCCAUAUAAAAGCGGUAUCGUAAGUUGUAAGGAUAAGAAUAUAUCACUUUAGUUAUAUCAAGGGGAAAGAAAACGAGAGGGAAAAAAAGGAAGGGAGAGAAAAAGUGAAAGAUUAAAAGAGGAGAUAGGAAGGGUUAAUGGGAACAGUGUAGGGGUAAUAAGAAAUCAGGUUCAAGCUCAACCUGGAGAUAAUAUCAUAUCGAUUUCCGAUUACCAGAAUGCUACAUGAAAUGGGGUUAGCUUGAUGUUGUUGUACCCGUGUCGAUAUAAUUGAUAAUAACACUGUCAUCCACUUGGAAAAUUGUAGCCUGGAGCCUAUGGUAAGAAUCAAUAUAUUCCACUCUCUGUCUCUCACUACAUGCAUACAUUUAUAUCUAUCUAUCUAUCUAUCUAUCUAUCUAUCUAUCUAUCUAUCUAUCUAUCUAUCUAUCUAUCUAUCUAUCUAUCUAUCUAUCUAUCUAUCUAUCUAUCUAUCUAUCUAUCUAUAUAUGCAUAUAUAUAUGUAGAUAUUGUUUAGUUUUAUGUUCAAUUAUAAUAGAAACAGUUUUACAUCAAUCUGACGUGUUACUCCAUACUCUUGUAGAAAAUAAUAUAUAUGUGUAUGUAUGUAUGCGCGCGUGUGUGUGUGUGUGUAUGCGUGUGCGUGCGCGCGCACGCGUGUGUGUGUAUCGCUAGGUUGUUUGAAGUGGUGUACAGCUGUUAUAUAUUAAGAAAAAACAAGUGGUCAGGAUUUGGAUAAUAACAAAUUAUUCAGUGCUUUCAUCCCUUCGAGGGAUUCAUCCGGAAUCAUUUUUAUUUUGUUUUGUUUGAAUUCUCUAUAAACAAACCAUUCAUGAUGAAUCCGUGAGAAGGAUGACAUCAAUGAAUAAAUAGUUUUUUUUAUCCCAAUCCUCAUCACUUUCUUUUUCUUAAUCUAGAUAUAUAAAUGAUGGACUAUUUCGUCGAAGGCGACGUAUGAGUGUUCAGCUUCCACUGAUUUCGCAAAUGAUUUUCUUUAUAGAGAUCAAAUGCAUGUGUACAUUAGCUCACUCCCUCAAUCAAAUCGAAGUUGCCUGUAUAGGUGCACGGUCUACAGUGUCAGAUGCCUGAGUGAUAACAGAGCAACAUGAAAGAUAGCGCACCACCCGGUCUAGGAAUUAAAAGCACGAUCCCGCGACCGUGGGUGCAACACCCUAACCACUAGGCUAUGUGCCUCCACAUCUACCCCAACACACACAUACAUACCUACGUACAUAGGUAAAUAAAUAUAUCCAUACACACACAUGACACACACACACACACACACACACACACAUAUAUAUAUAUAUAUAUAUAUAUAUAUAUAUAUAUAUUUAGCGUUUAUGUAUUUCUUUUGCAACAUCCGUGAUGUAAAAUCCGAUGUUGAAAUAGACAUUGUUAUAUUUAGGGGUGGUCAUAUUUUUUACUAAUUAUACGUACUAUAUACAAGUAAACUCACUAUAUGCACCCACUGAAUACUUAGUCUUCGCCUCAGCGUUAUUAUUAUUAUUGUUAUUUUAGUGCCCUUUGUCUGAGAUCUUUCGUCGCACGUCCUGUGACCUCUUCAGUGAUUCUUCAUAACACGUGUUUUCUCAUGUUCUGUUUGAUCCACUCUGUCUUUACACACACACACACACAAACAAACUCACACACACACACACACACACACACUCACACACACACACACAAAGUUAUGUCAAGUUAUAUAUAGAUCAAUUUAAUAUUAAACUGAAAGAUUAUUGACUACGUUUCCGUUUAUUAAAAUUUUUACGAGGCACACUUUAACAGUGACUUUAAAGUCUGGUGAAGGUGGGCAAAUCAAAACUUCUGUCACCUUUUCCCUGUAUAUACAUACACACACACACGCACAUACACACACGCACACACACACACAUACACACACACACGCACAUAUAUAUAUAUAUAUAUAUAUAUAGAGAGAGAGAGAGAUAAAGAGGGAGAUAGAUAGGUAGAUAAAUAAAACUGGCACUGCCGGUUAAAACGAGAAGGGAUUUAGUUGAUCCGAUUAACGGAACAACCUGCUGGUGAAAUUAGCUUGCUAGUGGAUGAGCACGCCACAGACAGAGGUACCAUAAUAUAGUUUUCAGGGAUAGUCAGUCUGACGUGUGAAAUACAGGUACUACACCUUUGUUGCCAGCUGAAUGGACUUCAUCGAAGUGAAAAAUAAAGUGCCUUGCUCAAGAGCACAACAUGUUAUCGGCAAUCGAACUCAGGACCUUAUGAUCUGCGCCGGACACCCUAACCUCUAGGCCACCCCCCUUUAUUGAUAGGUAAUAGAGUGAAAAGAUGAAAGUAAAAAAAUGGAAACCACCUGUAACGUUUUUGUGAUAAAGAUUCUCACUGAAUUACAGUACCGUCUUCUGACAGGUAUUUAUUACCUUAGAUACAACAGUAAUAUUUAACGAUAAGGUAACGAGGCAUUCACCUCGCACGACCUGCUUCAUAUCGUAGCAGAAUCUUCAGUUCACUCUACGUUUUGCUUCUUUAAUAGGUAAGUAACACCAGUUAGCAUAAUCUUAACUGAUGUAUACCGAAAUAAUAUAUAAUUGCUUUAUGAUCAUAUUUGGACGAUUUUGUUCUAUGGUAUCCGGACAAAAGAUAAUCUAGAACAACUAUGAAUAUUAUACCUGGUGAAAUAUUAUUGGGAGGUGUAUGUCUGCAAAGCAUGUUUUUUUUAAGAUUUAUAUACUUCUGAAUGUGUGACAGUAUUUCUUGAUGUCAAUAUGACAAUAUCCGCAUUUAUGUGCUUAUGAUUCCUGCUGUAUCCACGCUUCUGUGUACGAUUAUUUGUCACAGAGAAACAUAAUUAGUAGCAAAAGAUGAAUAUCAUACGAGGAAGAAAACAGAAGAGAGAGAGAGAGAGAGAGAGAGAGAGAGAGAGAGAGAGAGAGAGAGAGAGAGAGCACAAAGGAAUGUGAGAGAGUGAGAAAGAAUAUUGCAUUCGAGUCUAUAUGAGGCGUGGACCGUGUGAAGAGAAUUACUCAACAAGGGAUUACAGUAUGAUAUUUCUAAGUGAAUGUUUGCAAAAUAAACAUGCUGUUUCAUGUAAUUUAUAUUUUUAUAAAGUAAAUAUGCAUCAUGUAUUUAUUUUAUAUUAAUGGGAAUGAGUAACGCAAUGGCCGCCGCAGCAGGAUAACGUUUUUUCCGUCAUUCUGUUUUUAGCACAAACUUCUUCUAUAUUUCGAUUUUGCAUUUGGCACACCACCGAAUACGUGUAGAUAGAGAAUAGUGUAUAAACUCUAAGCCAGCCCAUUAAUGGUACAAAUAUACUUGUGAUUUUUUUGUAGGUCCAGGUAAACUACGGUUGGACAUACUUUAGCAGAAAUAUAUUGUAAGCAUUGAAUAUCUCAUAUUUUUUAGUAUAGCAUUUCUCCUUCCGUUUUUAGAAAGCAAUCCAGUGGUUUAAAUAUAAGUAUAUAGGUGUAAUUUAAAUGAGUGUGUGUGUGUGUGUGUGUGCAUGCGUGUGUGUACGAGUUUGUGUGUGUUUGUAUGUGAGUAUUCGGUUACUGUUUUUUUUUUCUUAAAAUUAAUUUGGGUAAUAUGUAGAAGCCCGCACAGUCAUUUGUACCUAAUUUAUGGACUCCGGAGAUUUGAUGUAAGCGGUAAAUUCAUCUUUGGCAGUAUUUUAACUCAAACCGAGAGAACCAAGGGUAACUACGAUUCAGGGAUCUUAUUCGCGUUCACUCGCUUCUACAAUUUAGCCACUUUGGAAUAAUAAAGUCUUUACCAGACAAUUAAUGCAACUUGACUUUGGCUAAAGGAAGCUAAUGAUUCAUUCAUCUUUUAAUGUUUUUCCUUAUACUAGUUGCUUUUUUUUUAUCCCCAAUCCAUUUUGGAUUGAAGACAAUCUUGUCACUAUUCUGCAAUAUAUUUCACUAAUGCAUGAUUAAAAACGGACAUUACAUGGGACAAAAUCUAUAUAAAAGAAAUUAGGCACUAGACCGAUAGAUUUGUUUUGAAGGGAGAUACAUUAAUCGAUACCAGCAAUUUGUAGCAGAUUUCUUAUUUUAUUGACCGCCAAGGACGAAAGACAAAAUAUGUAGAACCUUGGAAUUGAACCCACGUCCUACAGUGUUAUAAGUGGUACAGCGACGUAUGUUUUCCAAUAUUCUAUAGAUUUUGUAAUUCGCCUCGCCAAUGCUCUCGUUUUUCACAUCAUCCGUUGAUGGCUACUGGAAACAUUUUCAGGAAAUAACGAAAGGUGUGUUACGUCAUAUAGCAAAUACGUCAUUAUGAACUAUAUAAUCUCAGCAUACCUUGAGUAAGUAACUGAGAUUUGCAUCGACAAGUAAAUCGUCGAUGUGGUGCUCCAGCAUUGUCGCAAUUCAUUCCCUGAAACAAGUUAAAGAAUAAAAAGAGUAAUGUCUCUGUCUCUAAAAUGUACUUGUAUGCUUUCUUAAGUGACUUAGAUUUUUUUUUAAAUUGCACAUUCAAAAGACCUAUGUCGCACUCUUGAAGUGUUUUCUUCAUAUUCUGGGCAGAAAUAGCGUUUUAAUUAUUGAAGUUAAAUUAACCCAAAACAGUAACCUAUAUGUGGUUUUGCCUGCUAAAAAUAAUAGCAAACCUUUUACAAAUCUCAAAUAUGUAGUUAUAGUGGGACAAACUCUGACAUUAAGAUGAAUGAUCACAGAUUUUAUGUCUGUGAUCAAAAGCCUGUUCAAUGAGAGAGACCUAAAGCUAUAGAUAAUAGACCUAAAGCUAUAGAGCAACAACAACAGGAAUAAUUUAAUACGUGUGCUGAUGGAAAUAGUCAGACGUUGUUAAAGCAUUUUCAUUUAACCACAAAUACUCUGAUAAUACUUUAGAAAUAAUACGUCGAAAUUAGGAAAUCACUAUGAAGUUUCCUACAGUUACGGAAGCACAUAUCACAUAAUGACGGCCUAUAAAAUAAUGGAUUCUACAUUCCUGAAAGCAAAACAAAGCUCUGUAUUCGCAGGGCAUAAAUCAAAUCAGCUCUUUUGAUGAUAAUCAGUCGGGUAGAGACAUCAAAAGGAUACGUAACGUGAAGCAGGUUCGACCAGAUAUUGUACAACACGUCGUUAUCUAGGUUAUCUAUCAGCUUGCAUUUUUGCUUUAUGGCACAUAGAAAACAGUUUAACACUGAGUAGCAUCGAUGUUAUUGAUCUUUCUCCUCUUGACUGAACCAUACAAGUGUUUUGUCUGCUCUGCCAAUCGUUUAACUCAUGUGACAUAUGUCUAUCAGUAUUGAUAUUUAUUCUGAAUAUGUUUAGUAAUUUUAGCAGACACGGAAUUGAAUUAUUAUGCGGAUGUAUUUUUGUGUGUUGAAGUCUCUCUAUGGGUAUUUGUGCAUUUAUGAAUAUAUAUUAUGCAUACAAAUGCAGAACUAUUUACUAAUAGAAACAUAUAAACACACACACACACACACACAUAUACACACACACACACAGUCACACAUCCUUAUCUGCGUAUUUGUGUGAGCGGAUUUGUGUGUGCUUAUGGGUGUCUGUGUACAUGUGUGUGUAUGUAUUUUUAUCUUAAAUUUAAUAUUUAUGAAAACAUGAACUCUAACAUAAAUAGUGCAAAUAUACAUACACAUGAAAAGCUACAAAACAUUUUCUUAGUUGACUGCAUAUAUCAAUGGCAGACUUGAACGGAUAAGGCCUUUUUGUAUUAUUAUUGUCAUUAUCAUUGUUAUUAUUGUUAGUAUUAUUAUUAUAAAUAUUAUUAUUAUUAUUGUUAUUAUUAUCAUUAUCAUUAUUGUUAUUAUUAUUAUAAAUAUUAUUAUUAUUAUUGUUAUUAUUAUUAUUAUUAUUAUUAUUAUUAUUAUUGGUAGUAGUAGUAGUGUCAUUAGUUUUAUUUUCACCACCAGCGCCACUAACAUUGCUGUUGCUACUGCUGCUGCUGCUGUUUGAAGGUGUCUGAAUAUUAUCACUCCGCUAGCUCACUCGAUAGAACGAAGUGUGAGAUAGAGUUAUUUCUCUACACCAAUUUCCUCUUUCGGCUAAGGAACAAAGAUAUUGCCUAAUUAAAACAGCAUUUUUAAUGUAAAAAUCAAACCAGGCAACUCUAAUCAUCACCCUCUUAAAUGAUUAAUUUCACUUUUAACUAUUCAUUUACAAGACCAUAAACGUGUUUAUCGCUUCCUCAAGACAGCUUUUGAAAUUGUCUCAUAAUAUUCCUGGAAUUAUUUUACAAUUUUUUAAUAUGUUCUUUUCUUCAAUAUUGUUUCUUUUUCAUCUUUUUACAAUCUGCUAAAAGAUUGAUUUACUUUAAUGCGUUAUAUUUAUUUAUUUAUUCAUUUAUUUAUUAUCGAAUAUUGUUUUCGAACCGCGGCUUGUUUUAUUAACUUUACGCAACACAGACCGGAAUUCCGGUGUGUAUCAGUUUCGUUUUGCUUUUCUUUUUUUCUUCCCAAACAAAAUCAUAAUAAUGAUUUUUUUCAUACAGGCGCCAUGUUUUAAAAUAUUUAGACGCAGGUGGGGGGCGUGCGUUGACUCAAUCGAUUUAAACGACCCUGUUAUUAGACUGGUAUUCAUUUCAGCGACCCAAGAAGGGGGAAACGGAAAUUUGUCUUCGGCAAAAUUUUUAUUCAGAAUCACCUUAGCGAAACAGGGUAUUUUCGUGCGAUGCUCUUUCGAUACUGCAACGUCACCGUUUUAGUUGCAGGCGUAGCUAUGUGGUUAACAAGCUCGUCUUGCAACUACGCGGUUUAUAUAUAUGCAGUCAUAUAUAUAUAUAUGUAUGUAUGUAUGUAUGUAUGUAUGUAUGUAUGUGUGUAUGUAUAUGUGUGUGUGUGUGUAGGAGGAAAGUAAGAAGCAAAAAAAAAAAGCGAAAAUGCGCACUGAAAAUCAAAAAAGUGAAAGUGAUUUUAAAGAGAGAGAUUUGAAAGAGAUGACAUGGUGAUUAUUCUUGACUGUUACAUUUACUUACAGUUGGGAGGAAAGAUAAGCUUAAUUCUCGUUAUAUUUGAAUUGGCCUGGUUGCACGCAAUGGGAAGUGCAUACACGCACACACACAGACACACACACACGCGCAUACACACGCAGAGAGCAAAAAAAUCAUAAAAUUAAAGGGGUAAUGGGGGUAGUAGUAGGAGAGAGUACAAGUGAGAAAUUAGAAAUUGCCUUCCGUAGACAAAAUAUAGCAACACAUUGUAUAGAAGCGUUUGAAUUUGACAGAAUAUAUUAAUAAUGAACAUGCGUAUCUUCGUUUUGUUUUAUUCAACUCUAUUUUAAAUGCUUUCUGUUUUAGAAAAUAAGCAUUCGUUUUUUUCCUUUGUAUACGUGCCAAAAAAUUUGAUAAGAUUUGAAUUAUAACCAUUGUAUGCAUACCAUAAUGUCUGAUACUGCCCAUCGUGGUGAAAGUGUACUUUGAAAGUUACUCGCCAUAAGACGGUUAAUCUUCAAGUCUGUAAAUAAAUGCUACAAUGCAUUUUCUGAAGUGCCAGUCUUCUUCUACCAUUCCCAGUGCAUAAUAUAGUAUUAAUAUUAGCAAUCACAUCUUGCAUAAACCAACAGCAAUGUCUGUAUAAUCGAAAGGAAAAAGAAAUAGAAAAGUUAUAAACUCCAUACUUUGUUUUCAGAAGCAUUAAUGCAAUGAGCGAAGUGACUGUUCCAACUGGAUAUCAAAAUCGUCUUGCUCUGCCGAUGCUGCCACUACACAUAACAGUAUAACGUUUACUCUAUAAGAGGCACACCAGUCGACCGUCAAUAGAAAUGGAACACAAUCAAUAAUAUUCAAGGAGAGUUAUUGCUGGUCGAUGAACGUGAAUAUCUUUGACCUGAGUGAGUUAUUUACUUAGAAACAUGCCAUGCAUCUUUAGUUCUCCACGCCACCGCAUCUCUUCAUUCGCUACAUCAUCAAUAGCAACAUAGAUUUCGAUGCUGAUAUUUUGAACACUGUGAAUAGGCCAUCGUUAUAGUGAACGAGAUGGGCGGGAAUGUAUAUUUGAUUGCAUUUGAUCGUUUUGAAAAUUGUAUAAUAUCAAAUAAAUUGAUGAUUAUUUAAAUACAAAAUUAUUGAUAAAUAAAACUAUAUAUAUAUAUAUAUAUAUAUAUAUAUAUAUAUAUAUAUAUAUAUAUAUAUAUAUAUAUAUACAUGAAGCACAUGAAACACAUAUAUACAUAUAUAAAACACGCACACAUACAUACAAACAUGUACAUAUCCUGAUAUAUUUAUUCAUGAGAGUCCAUGUAUCCAUAUGUACAAACACAUGAAAUAAAGCGGAUUGUUGUUCAAUCUCAACGCGUGGCGCAUUGAGUACGUGGACUUACCUAAACUCAAACCAUUUCUCGGAAUUUAGGCAGACGUAGAUCGUAGAAGACUAUAACAUCUUGCAAAUUGGUUUUAGUUUUGCCUAAUUAGACGCUAAUUAAUGUCUGUCUAAUGCAAGGUCACGUCCACCUAAUCAGAUGGUUUGAUGAGAUGAGCGUGUCCUACGGUCACGAAAUUUUGAGAACGACCUCACUCAAAAGGUCAGUAUGAAUGUAUGUAUGUAUGUAUGUAUGUAUGUAUGUAUGUAUGUAUGUAUGUAUGUAUGUAUGUAUGUAUGCAUGCAUGCAUGCAUGCAUGUAUGUAUGUAUGUAUGUAUGUGUGUAUAUACAUAUAUAUAUGUAUACAUACAUACAUACAUACAUAUAUAUAUAUAUAUAUAUAUAUAUAUAUAUAUAUAUAUAUAUAUAUAUGCACAUAAAGACAAACAUGCAUGCAUUAUACAUCUUCGCUCUCCCUCACAGAUAUAUCUAUCUCUAUAUACUGACAUUUCCAUUCACAUGCAAGUUGUUUGUGUGUGUGAAUAUAUAUGUAUAUUUUAUGGCGGUGCUCCAGCAUGGCCGCAAUCAAAUGGCUGAAACAAUAUAUGAAUAAAAGUGUAAAAGAAUACCUAUACAUAUAUGCAUUUAUAUAUAUAUUUAUUGGCACAUGUAUAGAUAUCUACACAUACGAAUGAAUAACUAAAAAUAUCUGGUUCUAAGUGUUUUCCACAUUACAUUAUAAAUAUAGUAUUAUAUUUCGGAAUGGUCAUUUUGCCAGUUUAGCCAAUAAAAUCUUGCACAACAAAUAUUUAAACGUAUUAUAAAUAUAGUAUUAUAUUUAUAGCAAGGCCGAGGCGCAAUGUCUCACUAGUUAGGGUAGCGGCCUCACGGUAUCGAUUUCCAGAGCGGGAGUUGUGAGUGUUUAUUGAGCAAGUCACCUAAAACCCCACGAGGCUCCGUAGGGGGUGGGUGAACCCUGCUGUACUCUUUCGCCUGAACCUUCUCUCCCUUCCUUCCUGUUUCUGUUGUGCCUGUGUUUCAAAGGGCAAGCCUUGUCACCCUCAGUGUCACGCUGAAUCUCCCUGAGAACUAAGUUUAGGGGUUCACGUGUCUGUGGAGUGCUCAGCCACUUGCACAUUAAUUUCACGAGCAGGCCGUUCCGUUCAUCGGAUCAACUGAGACCCUCGUCGUCGUAACCGACGGAGUGCCACAUAUAACGAUGCAUAACUAAAAAUCGCUAUAAACGUCUCUCGUGUCCAUUUCUCUCUUUAACACACUACUAAAUGAAUUUAUGCUAAAACUCCUAUUUAGUAUUCAACUACAUUUGAAAAAAAUCAGCGUUCUUCCAGAUCUGUCUCCAUCCAUAACUUCCUGCUGUACCCGACUACCACAUCUUUUUCGACGUCAGCACCAUCCUUCUCUCCUUUCACCUUCUGCUCCACUUCAUCUUGCUCUUCAUUGUCAUCUUCCUCACUCUUCCUUUUCUUCCUCCUCUCCUUUUCCUUAUUCGUUGUUCCUUCUCCACUUCCACAUUUUCUUCCUCAUCAUUAUAUCCUACACCCCAUCCUUUCUACUCGCGUUGUGAUUUCUGCCUAAAUCUGGGUCGCCACUGUCAUGUAUAUUGUGGUGUCAUUGCAGUUAAUCCAAUACAUCCGAAAUGACACGCGAACCGUUGCCUGCUCACCAUCUUUCACUUCAUAUUUUAAACCAUUUCAAUCAAACUAGCUAAAUCACAUAAUCUUUAUGUGUAACCUUGAACAAAAUUAUUUCUGUUUCUGAUGAUGUUACAAGAAUUUAACCCUCUCAGCAAAUAAUAAUUUAUUUGGCCUUGUAGUAAGUAGCUUGUUUAUCAACCACAUUGUUCCGGGUUCAGUCCCACUGCGUGGCACCUUGGGCAAGUGUAUUCUACUAUAGGCUCGGACCGACCAAAGCCAUGAGGGGAUUUGGUAGACGGAAACUGAAAGGAGUCCGUCGUAUAUAUAUAUAUAUAUAUAUGUGUGUGUGUGUGUGAGUUUGUCUCCUCAACAUAUAAUUCUAAUACAGUCCCAGUGUAUUUACCAUUAUCAAAAUAUUUUCAUUAAUUCCCUGAACCUUGCAUCAGAUACAAUUCUAUCCGUUUUAGCUUUAAUGUCCCGUCGAUAUUCCGUUCCUGCUGUAACAGCUAAAAGUGUCAGUGACAUGUAGGUCAUCUUCUGAACGUUCCUCGUUAUUAAAUGUUUGUAAAUUCUAACGCAUUUGUCGUGAUGUAUGCGAUGUUUCUUGCGAUAUAUCAUUUGACACGCGAUUUUUUACGUACAGAAUAUCAGAAUAUUUAAUCAAAUGAAAGACUAAUCUUGUGCAUUUGCUUGCUCUGCAUACUCAAACACUUAAUAAGUGUUAAAAAGGUAUAUAUGUAUAUACAUAUGUAUGUAUAUGUAUGUAUGUAUGUAUGUAUGUAUGUAUGUAUGUAUGUAUGUAUGUAUGUAUGUAUGUAUGUAUAUGUAUGUAUGUGUAUACAUAUAUAUAUGAGUAUGUAUGUAUGCCUGUAUGUAUGCAUAUAUAUAUAUAUGUAGACCUGUUUGUAUGUACAUACAUAUGCAUAUAUGUAUGUAGACAUGUAUGUAUGUAUAUACACAUAUAUAUAUAUGUAUGCCUGGCCUGUAUGUAUGUAUGUAUGUAUCUAUAUAUAUGUAUGUUUGUAUGUAUGUAUGCAUCUAUCUGUCUGUAAAUAUGGCUUGAUAUUGUUGAAUAGUCUGAGAUAGUCGUGUUCAAAACAGAAUAUACAUCGGAUUCAGACGAACAGCGGCGAUGCAGUAACCCAUGAGAAUGAUGGACGCAUUCAGCUUUUCCUGAGGCUUGUCAAUGUCACGCAGAAUGUUGUCAUAUAUACACUGUCGACUGUACAUUGUGCUCUUAGCACAGCGAGUCUUUGAACAGAUUCUGUCUCAGACAAUUCCACAGCCUCACGUAUGCUAAUGGUUUGUAUACAUUUAAUAAGACGUAAGACACACAGAUAGCGAUUUUAAGUUAACGCUCUUUGUAACUGCCUAUACGUUAUUACACAUAUGAACAUACAUAGGCACAAAUGCACAUGCAUAUACAAUCGCAAACACGCAUACACACACAUAUAUAUAGAGACGGUAUUUACAAGACAUAGAGAUUAAAACAGAAAAGGCUCUUCUGUACAGUUUUUGUAAAAGUAUAUUCUCUCAUUGAUGAUCCACACUUCACUGUAUCGCUACUUGUUUCUCGCUUUUCAAUGACAGUUUGCUGCGAUAUCUAUUUUCAUAGAAGUAAUAUAUAUAUAUAUAUAUAUAUAUAUAUAUAUAUAUAUAUAUAUAUAUACAUAUAUUAAUUAUUAUAAUUUGAGGGAAUGAAAUCCGAACUUACAAGGAAAAAAAUUCAAUUUAGAAAUACUAAAUCAAAUCUCACACAAUAUAAUAUAUAUAUAAAAAAUUAGAAAAGAAACACCUUUUAUCAAUUGCAAAAAAAUAAUAAAAACGUAUAUAAUAGGUUUUCUACCUAUUAUGUACGUUUUUAUUAUUAUUUUUUUGCAAUUUACUUAAUCUUUGACAUUUUGUUGUCAUUUUAAUUUAAAUGUUUCUAUUAUAUGUAAUUUUCUAGAUGGUGUAAUUGAAUUGUUCAUUUUGAAUUGAUAAAAAGUGUUUUUUUUUCUAAUUUUAUAUGUAUAUAUAUAUUAUUAUUAUUAUUAUUAUUAUUAUUAUUAUUAUUAUUAUUAUUAUUAUUUCUAAGUUUCUCUAAAGGAGACUGUGGCAGCGGUACUGGAUAUUAACUGUUAUCGCCAAUCUAAUAUGGUGGUCCAUAAAUAUAUUCCACACACAUAUAUCCACUUCCAGUCACUUCAGCCAUGUAACCAUACAUGUGCUUUUUGAUUUUUUUAAAAUUCCUCCAACUCUUCCAGGCGAAAACCUAUGCUCGAAACAGUUAUACACCUACUGAUUUUUUCACCUUAUGCCGUGCGCCAAGCUAGUAUACACACACACACACACACAUCUAUAUAUAAAUAUGCGUGUCUGUAUAUUUAUAGUUAUAGUUAUCUUAUGAAAGAUACAGACUGCAUAGAAUUACUCAAGUCGAGCCUAAGACGUCCGACAAUUAUAAUACAUGGAAUGGAGAAAGUUGAAAUCAGUAAACCACAAUGAACACAGAUGUAUAUGGAUUUCAUUAAGAUAAAAGUUGUCCCAAAAGUUGUUGAUAUAUUAAAAAUACAUAUAAGAAUAUAUGAAUAUUAAAAUAUAUAUGGACAUAUAAAUAUAUGAAUGUACGAACAGUAAUAAUAUAAUGAAGUAUAUGAUUGUAGAUAAAAACGUUUUGUUAAAAAUGGAACAUGAUAUAUAGCGAAGAGGAGACGAAAAAAUAUUUUACGUUACAUAUUAAUAAAAAGUAUUCCUACAGCUGUUUCUUACCUUACCAACGAACUUAACAUAUUUCUACAGUAAACAUCACUUUUUCCCUGAUAAAGGAGAUGUUUUCUGAAAAUGAAUUUUAAGAUUCAUUUUUUGCUCGGAGGACUGAACGCCUGAAACGGCGUAUACGUAUCUGUUCAUUGAGUUUUUUCCUGAUUUGAACUUUCUCCAUUCCAUUUAUUAUGUACAUAUACAUAUAUAUAAUUAAAUCAAAGAUAUUAAUUCCCUUAAAAGGAUGUCACCAUCCACGUUUCCCCAUAAUAUCCAGUGUAUUAGAGAAAAACCAAACAUGUUAGAUUCGCAUUGAUGGUUUUGAGUAGAUUAUUGUUUAUGUAUAAGAAAAAUUUGCUUAUACAUAUACUUAUAUGCUUAUACAUAUAAGUAAAGGUUUAUAAAUACAUUGGGUGCGAAAACGCACAUAUGAGUCUAACGAGGGUCUACCAAGACAUUAGAAUGUAGCUCCUUUCAAUCAAAUUCUUCCUUUGACAAAAUCCCCAAUUAGCUAUAUUGAAUAGCAAAAUUUAAUUUAAUUUCUCAAAUUGGGAAUGGAAACAAUUGUAGGUGCUAUGAGUUUGUUUUGUUUGGAAUUAAAUAUGUUCUAAGAAAUCGAUAUCUAUGUCUCAAAUUCUCCGUUUCUUUUUCUUCUCAUCAAUAAACAAAUACACACACAUACACACACACACACACAUAUUAUAUGUGCGUGCGUAUUUAUAUCUUUUUAUGCAUGUAUGUAUUUAUGUAUCUAUCUAGACACCUAUCUAUGUAUUUAGUAAAGAUACAUGUAUUCGUGUGUAUCUUUCGAUACAUUCUUACAUACAUACCUACCUACAUACAUAAAAAGAUCCUACUACAUACAUAUCUACAAAUGAUAGUCCGAUAGUUGAGAGCGAAAUUGAUUUUAUAUUUCUUAUUUUCUUAUUAAAGUCUGAUAGAAAUAAUCAUCCUUAUCAGUAAGUGUGAAUCUAAGUCAUGUCAGACUCUCAUAUUUCAGCGGACAUGGCGUGACCAAUAGCGAUGUCCGACUUUGUUUGCAUGCAAUAUAUUCUUCUAAUUACACCUUUUGUCCACUUUAAUCUGUCUUUCUCCUACUAUAGAUUCAUUUCUGUUAUAUUGCUUCUUAUGAUUUAUUCUGCAUCGCAUUCUCUAUUCUAGUAAUCCUACCACAUAUAUGCAUAUAUAGGUUAGAGUUUACGAAAAAAGACAAAAGACGAAGAUAGGUGGUGUACAAAACAAACAGAUGUAUUAGUAUAACGCUCAGGAAUAGAAAAUGUAUUUUACGUUUCGAGCCUAAGCUUUUCUACAGAAAGGUACACAGAAAACAAGGAGGGAAAAAAACGUGUGUAGCGGCUAACGAUCUAUCAUGGCGUAUAUAUAUAUCUAUAUAUAUAUAUAUAUGCACGCAUAUACACAUGUACAUACACGUAUAGAUACAUACAUAUCUAUCUAUGUGUGUUUGUGCUUGUGUGCGUGCAUUGUGUAUUUUCCGAAGCGAAAUUUCAACGAAGCGUUUUGUAAAUGUUUUUAUAUAGAUAUUUGAUAAUGGCAUAACUAUAUAUACAGUCAUAUAGGUUAGGUUACUUUUAUCGUAUAAAAUGCAAGAAAGAUUAACUGAAAAAGAUCUCACUACGCGAGAUUAAAUGAUAUAUUUAUGAAUUUGACAGUGAGUUAUCUUCAAUGCUGAUUUCGAUGCACUAUAGACAAAAGAAACCUCAUCUCUAUUAUUCACUGUCUUUGUACGUCUAUACUAUGAAACACGAGUCACGAGAUAUGUAGUGUUUCAAUAAGCCAUACACACACAGACAGACAGACACACACAUACAUACAUAUAUACAUUCAUAUACGUAUAUAUACAUAUAUAUGCACGUGUCUUGAAUUGUGUCUCAGUAAAUAUUUUAGAUUAUAUAUCUUUUUUCGCAAUUGAAUGCUGAUCUCGUGACUCGUGGUUCGACAUUGCGAUGAUCAGGCAAGACCUACACACACACACACACACAGAUGUCAUUGUUAGUCCAACCCAAGUUUCCACUACUCUCGUCAUUUGGUAAAUAACAACAGAGAUGUUUUGGAUAAUUGACAUCGAGCAAACGGAAGUAAAUAUUAAGAUAUAUCCAAAUUAGUUUAUUGAUUCUUUCCAGUCAGGUUUAGCCUUUUCACGUGGCCUUUUCCCCCCUCUAAAUCGUUUUGUAAUUGAAUAAGUAAUUCCAAUAAUUUGAUUUGUAUCAUCUUUCACUCUUCUUGGUAACAUUUAAGGAGCCGAUGAAUCUUUCAAACAUUUUGAGAGGAAUACCUUUACAAUACUAGUACUUAGUACCUGGCUCUGUGUUUUUUAACCUUUAGCUUCUUUUACUGGUUUCACUCUUUAGACUGCGACCAUACUGGAGCAACGCCUUGAAGUGAAUGAGUCGAAUGGAUCGACACCGGUACUUACCUCUAUUUAUCUUAUCGGUCUCAUUUGCAGAACUGUGAAGCCAAAGGGAUGUAAACACUGCAAAAUAUGUUGUCAGGCGGUGGCGGGACACAUCCACUUGUCCCAGGUACCACGCAAUGAGACUGAACUCAGAACCGUGUUGUUGAGAUGAAAAAUUGUUACCACAGAAACAUGCCUUCCCAUUCCAGGUAUCGAACCCGAGCCUUCCGGGUGAUAACUAGGAAUUGUAACCACUUGUUGUGUGAAGUCUUUUUAUAUUGUAGACGGCAAAUCAUCAAAUACAGUUAAAGUUAGAAAUUUGUUGCCAAAAUAAUUCACACGAGAGUUUUAUUUAUAGAAAUUUAUUUUAACAUAUUUUUUAAGAAAUUGUAAUAAAACUGCGAUUCUUAAUUUUUUUAUUUUUUUAAUAUUGAGUGUUGACAGCUAUAAUUCAUUAAAGGAUUAGAAAUAUUUGAAAGAUUUCUCUUUUCUUGUAUCAUUCAACCGUUUCUGCGAUCAUACUGCGGUAUCAUCUUGAAUUGUUUUACUCAAAACAAAUCGACCCAAAUAUGUACUUUAAAGCCUGGUACAUAUUCUAUCGUGUCUUUUACAGGACGGCUAAGUUACAGGAACACAAACUGACAUCUGCUCUCAUGCAGCAGAUUGAAAGACACCGACACGAACCCACAUAUACACACACGCUCACAUAUGUCUACGUACACUAGGCUUCCACACUGUUCCUGAUUAACAAAUACAUUUACGCGGUAUUGGACAACCCGGAGCUAUAAUAGAAGACAAUUGCCCAUGAUUUCGGCUGUGCGGGACUAUGGGUAAUUUCUAUCACACAGCCAUACCUGCGUCUAUAAGGCCAUGUCUACGCCUAUAAGGCCAUACCUGCACCUAUAAGGCCAUAUUUGUGCCUAUAAAUCUAUAUUGCAUCUAUAAGGCUUUACCCGCGCCUAUAAGGCUAUUUUUCACCUAUAAGGCCAUACCUGCGCCUAUAAGGCUAUAUCUGCAUCUACAAGGCCAUACCUGUAACUAUAGUGUUGUAUCAACACAUAUUACACAGUAAUAAACUACUUUGCAGUGAGACUGUCUCUAAAGUCGUACAAAUAUAUAACAUAUUGACAAAUAACGUAUUGCAAGGUUUCCAUACUGUGUAUCUAAUGACAUCAUAUUCAACACGUGUCAAGAGAGGUUUAUAGUAUAUAUUGUAUAUUUAUUAUUUAGUGCAUAUUGUAUAUUUAUUGUUUACAUAUAUCUUGCUUUGGAACUUUUAACAAGAUGUGAAACCAAUUGAAUUAUUAAGUAUUGGAAAAUAAAAGCUGCUGGAAAAGAAAUUAAACAUUCAACUGUUUAUUGACUAUUGAAACUGACAAUGUCACUGUCAUGUUAGUAAUUAGCAAUAUUGUUUAUUUUGAAGUGAAAGAAGAAUUCUCAUCAGUAUUUCUGUUGAGAAGAGCUUGUGUCAUUCUAUACGGUUGUUGGUUGUCAGUGUGUCAUAUCUGUGCUGAAGAUCCCUUCAGAGACAUAGAAUUUUAGUAACAGAAAUUUCAACAAAAUUUCAACAAAAUUUUGUUGUAGAAAUUAUAACAAGUUUUCACACCUUUCGUCGAAACAGUAUAUGCCUUGUCUUUAAUGAUAAAGAAUAAACUUCGAAGAUUUUAAACAGGUGUGUAAGUAGAAUUUUUAAAGAGGUAGAAGAUAUUUUUUAUUAAUAGAAUCGGAAUUUAUAGAAAUAAAUGCUAUUUGCAUAUCUAUAUUAUUUGAUCAACUUUAAUGCAUAGAUAUUCGUACUUUCAAGAAGCAAAAUAUAUCUUCUACUUCCUAUUUCUAACGAUAUUUUUAAAAUUCUAAUCCCAACAAUGGCUUCCGGUUUGAUAGCAAAAUAACUGCAUUCAGAAGAAAACAAGUAAUGAAAAAAAAGAUAUGAGCACCAAACUUAACAAUUGCCUUCCUUAAACUUUAGAAUAAACUCAAACAACUUUCACGGGAACGUGUUAACACAGUAUAGAAUAUUAAAUGUUUUUUGUGUGUGAGAGAAACAUGACAUGCAAAAGAGCCAAUUAUUCUCUUUCCUUUACUUUUGAAUCAAUUUAAAUAACGAUAAUAUGGCAAGUGUUGAAUUACAAUAUAGCUGUGUUCCUCGGCUUAAACAAACCAACUGAAUAUUAUUAAAUACAGAAAAAAAACCCAACAAAAAAUGGACGUAAAUUUGUUACGUAGAUGCUCCAGGAGGUAACAUCUUUAAAGAUAUUGUAGUAUUUGUUCUUAAUCUCAUUAUAUUAUCCAUUUCAAAUGCUGGGGUAGAAUGAAUAUUCAGUAGCACGAAUCUUAUCAAAGAAAUAAUAUAAAAAAAGAUGUACUUUGAAUUCUUCCAGCAGUUCUCUCUGUAACACAUGGCUUCAUAUGAUUUUAUGUAUUCUGCGAAGAUUAUUGUUUACCUGAAGCAACACUAAAUAGAUUUUUGCUAUAAUGGAUACAUGCCUAACUAAGAAACAAGGCAUCGCAUUGAAACCGUUGAUCGAUUCAACGGUUUAUGGGAUUUCUUAGAUGCUGCUUCAGAUAUAUUAGCACAGAUUUAAUUUCUGUUUUUCUUUUUAAAAACAGCUUCUAAAAUCACUUAUUCUUACCCCGAAUUUUCUUUAGCACUGCAGAAUGUUUUUUACAAGGCAUUAUUUAAAAUGUAUUCUUAAUUUAACAACAGGUUUACAUAUGUAUGUAUGUAUGUAUGUAUGUAUGUAUGUAUGUAUGUAUGUAUGUAUGUAUGUAUGUAUGUAUGUAUGUAUGCAUGCAUAUAUUUAUGUAUGGCUGUAUGUAUGUAUAUACGUAUGCAUGUAUGUAUGCAUGCAUGUACAUAUGCAUAUAUUUAUACAUGGAUGUAUUUAUGUAUAUCUAUCUAUCUAUCUAUCUAUCUAUCUAUCUAUCUAUCUAUCUAUCUAUCUAUCUAUCUCUCUCUCUUUCUCUCUCUCUCUAUCUCUGUCUAUCUAUCUAUCUAUCUAUUUAUCUAUUUAUCUAUCAGUCUAUUUUCUAUCUACCUAUAUAUUAUUUGCGUGUUCCUGUUUGGACACACACAUACACAUAUCUGUGUGUGUCCAUUCAGUGGGAAGGGAAAAGAGUAACAAAGGGAUGAUUAACCAUAGGUUGCAUAAAUAAAUAAUAAUUAUGUAUGUUGUAAAACUGCUAAAACAGAAAAGAGCGUACAGAUAUGAGAACGGAAGGAAACAAACAAAGAAGAUUACUUGCUGGGUUCUACAAACUCAUCCUUCGAAAAUCAUCGGUGCAUUAUGCAUUAGAUAUUUAAUAUAAUUCAGUCUCGAAUAAUCUUCACGAGAUCAUAAAGUAUUUUGAAUAAUCGAAAUGCAAAAUAAAAUUCACCAUUUGAAGAGUAAUUCUUCACUAUUUACUGAAAAUAUUGUUUAAUCAUGAAACGUGACAUUCGCUCUCUCAUUAGCAUUUUAAAUUAUCCUUUAAAAAUAAUCGAUAACCAUAUAAAUUAUAUACUUAUCGUAUUUAUUUCAUGCAGCCUAAUGAAAAUAUUGGUAAAAGUUUCCGCUUAAUAGUAAGGUUAACUUAGCCAGACAGAGGUCACGUGGAAGUUGACUUUAAAAUCAACUAUUUUGUUAUUGGUUCAACCUAACAUUCAAACCUCUGUGCAUUUGAACUUAUAGCUCAGAAAAUAUCAAUUUAAUUAUGUUCCUUUAUACAUUAUAGUUUAUCCAAGUAGACAUUUUGAAAUGCUUGACGAGCAAUGGGUCACUUAAAUAGUUAAUUGCUCUUUGAAGACCACAAAUUAUUUCCAUUCACAAAAUCAAAUAUCUGCAUUAAUGUCUUCUUAUAAAAUACAGUGUUGGCUCAGCUGCAUGUGAAUUCUGCUUCUGGUUAAAGGUUCAUAAAAUUUCACUUCUAUAUUACAUCAUGAAAUACACUACUAGAAAAUCUGCUUCGUAUCAAUGUUAACAAUUAAAAUAUUGAUUCAGAAAAAUUGGUGUUCGAUUAGUUAUAGGGUAGCUUGAUUUCAGAUUAACUUAUUUAUACUCCGAUAAAUGUAUAUUUAUCAUAAACUCUAUUACAAUUUUCAUAUUUUCCUGAGAUUUUUAAAUAUACAGUAGUGGUAAGCUAGUAAAUAUACCCAGUGAGAUAUAAACUGCGAAUGUAUCACUCCUUGUGUUACUGUGCUAAAAAACAAAUGAUAUUGUAAAACGAUAUCUACCGCACAACUUUUCUCUUAAAUGUAGUAAUGAAAUACUGCAGUUUUUGUGUGCGGUGGGGCCUGUGUACUUUUUGGUUGUGACUUAGCGUAGUUGUAUGGCAAAGCGCAUCCCGGUUUCGCGCCAUUUCCGCUCUACCUGUCAUUCAUUACAACACAUGUCUGUGUUUGUAUUGCCUUUACAUAGGGGCCAGUCGGAUUCCCACCUUCGCCGUGAACUGGAAUUUAUCUUCUCUCUUCGCAUCUUUUCGCUACAUGGGCUCAACUCCCCCUCUUCAUCUGACUCCCCCAUCUUCUCUCUUCAUCUCACACCUACUUCUUUUCACUCCAACCCACCUUUCCUCUCCUGUUUUCUGUCCAUUCCAUAGAUCAUCGCGCUACAGUACAUGACAACAUUUUAUCUGAUAUCCCAAUGAAUUAAUCAUCUGUGCACCUCGUUUCUUCAUGAAGGGUGUCCGUCCCUUUUACAAACAUGCGACGCGUAUUUUCUGAUAUUCUUGAAUUGUAUGUGCUUCAUGCAUAUUUAUCGCAUAGAAAGAUAUAAUCUUUGUGUUACUAAUUUAUGCUGCUGUCUGCCUCGUAAUUGAUAUUCAGAUUUUUAUGUUGUUAAAUAUGUUUCUGCAACGUUAUAAAUGCUGUGAGAAUUGUUAGCAAGAGACGACCAUUGACUGUAUAUUUCGCAUUGCAUAGAGUUUUUUUUUUAUCAAAUGACAAACUGUAAUUCGAUCUGUGUGCUUGUUUUAUCUCUUGUUAUUCAUUCAUAUAGUCUUAAAAUUCGCACGUGGUUGUUAUACAUAGGAUAUGUUUCUCUUCUAUUUGCCUCAGUCAUUGGAUUGGGACCAUGUUGUGGCACCAUCUUAAAAAGUUUAUUUUAACAAAUCGCCCCUAAUAUGUCUUUUCUUUUAUAUCUGCUGCGAACCGUUAAGUUACAGAGGAGUAAACACUCCAAUAUCAUUUGUCAAGUGAUGAGCUGAAGAAACUGAAACACAGACACACACGCUCACAUGCAUCACACACACACACACACAUAUAUAUAUAUGUACACACACACACGCAUAUUUAUACACGGUGUGGCUGAGUGGUAAGAAGCUUGCUUCCCAACCACAUGGUUCCAGGUUAAGUCACAGUCCAUGGCACCUUGGGCAAGUGUCUUUUACUAUAGCCUCAGGACGGCCAAAGCCUUUUGAGAAACUGAAAGAAGCCCAUUGUAUAUAUAUAUAUAUAUAUCGAUGCGUAUGUUCGUGUGUGUUUCCCUUUCACAGCUUGACAAACGGUGCUGGUAUGUUUAUGUGUCCGUAUUCUAGCGGUUCGGCAUAAGAGACCGAUAGACUAAGUACUAAUCUUUAAAAAAUUGAUCCCUUGGGUCGUUUAGUUCGACCAAAAAUCCUUCUAGGUGGUGCUCCAGCGUAGCCGCUGUCAAAUGACUGAAAUAAGUAAAAGAUAUACACACGACUGUCUUCCACACAAUUCUCGUUUACAAGGUACUUGCCCGAGGUACCGCGCAAUGCGAUAGAACCUAAAACUGCAUGCUUGCAAAGAGGGCUUCUUAACCACUCAAAUACGCCUGCACCUUAAGUAUAGUUUAUUUUACUUUCUCUUCUGUUAUAAAAUUACGAGUAGAAAAUAUUCUGAAAUUUCAUUUCUUUUAUCAAUGCCCUACUCUCACCUUUAAGAGGUGAAUUUACAAAAAAUUAUUUUCUUUUUAAUGAAAGAAACAUUGCGUUCGUUUUCAUGUUUACAUAACAUAUACGACGUGAUUAGCUUUACUACAUCUUGAUUUGCUUCGUUAAAUUUCAUGAUGUAGAAAACAUCUUGAAAUAAAUAAAACAGAAAAAAUAAUUAUUAAAACAUGCCGAGGAAGCUGAUACAUCAAAUCACGUUAAUAUGUACUAUUAAGAAAAAUGAUUCCGUCUUCUAUUAAGUCAGCAUAUUAAUCAAGUAUGGUCUGGGACUAUUUCUACCACAGCAGGUAGAAAAAAAAAGCACUUCCACAAAAAACGUACACAUAUAAACAUGUACACGCAUACAUAUACGCAGGUACUCACACGUACACACUUCCACACAAGCAACAAAACAAAAUACGAACAUGAAAGGUAAAUCAACUGUAAGCAAAAAACAAAAAUAACACUCGAUUAACAUUCCAUUAUUUGGCGCAGAUAGGCGUAGAAUCUGGGAUGUGUCUGUUAUUGGUAAUAAUUUUUGGAGAAUAGCUUAGGCUGCUUGAUAUAAUUAUCCGACAAUGAGCUCAUCUAUAAAGUUGUUUUGGAAAGGAAGUUCAAAUAUUGAUUUUCCUCAAAGCACAUUAUAAAACUUUUUUGUCUAUUAUUUUCUCAUUCCUUUACAUUAAUUCUUUUGAUAUUACCCCUGCAAUCAAAGGGAGUUGCUUUGUAAAUUGACUUUCCUAUAAUACACUGGAGCUCAGCAUUUGAUACGUCAUUAGUUAAUUAAUAUCUUAUUUGCUUCAGAUGUGCUACGUUAGCUGUCUAUAUAUCAUAUGAACAACGAGAUAUGUAUUGUUUUCAAGCAGUGAACUGUAUAAUUGCCAUUUAAAUAAUAUAGACAAGCUGCAUGGAAUAAAAUUAAUAAGCUCUUUGAACAAAGUUAUACAAACCUUGCUAACCUAAUGCAUAUUCAGCGAUGAUAUACAAAAUUAUCCUUUGUUGAUUUUUUUUUCACGUUGAGAUAACCCGUUGUUUUUGAAAGUUAACCUCCCUUCAACAUUGCGAAGCCUUCGACGGGUACUAAAUUUUCUGGAUAAAGUUUUUAAUUUUCGUUCAGGCUUUGUACAUAGGAGAUAUUAAGUUAAAGAAUAUUAAAAGAAAUAUACAUGCAUAUAAUGCUCUAAAAUUGAACUAAAUAUGCAUCAGUUACACGAAUCACUUUAAGUCAGAUGAACCAAAGAUUAAAGUCUAUGCUUUAAUAUAAACUAUGUAAUUUCCACUGUCACUUCAAGGAAUUAUUUAAUAGUGGUUAUUUGAUGCAUUUCAUUUUGUCUAACCACACAAAAAAAGAAAAGUUCUUAUUUGUAACUGGUAUUAAAUAUAUUUAUAUAUGUGGUUAAUAUAUUUUUUAAGGAAAAUAUUGGCUUUCGACAUCGUACUUUGGGUGCUUUCACUCAUUGGAAUAAAACUUAUCAGGGCUCAUUGCCAGAUAAAUGGCAUACUGAUCAGACAUGCACAUACACGGAUUCAUAACUUAGUGGCAUAUUUUAUGCAUGAACCAUAUUUUUUCUCUUUUGCCAUUAUGGAAAAGUCUUCAAGUAUUUUUAUGUGGACGACUUUACCUUUCAUCCUUUCGGGGGUGAUUAAAUAAGUACCAGUUACGCACUGGUCUUGAUGUAAUCGACUUAAUCCCUUUGUCCGUCCUUGUUUGUCUCCUCUAUGUUUAGCCCCCUCUGGGCAGUAAAGAAAUAAAUAUUUUCUAGCAGCAUAUUCAGGAUCAAGCGCCGAUAGGGUCACACUUUUAUCUUCGAUGUUAUGGAUCGAUUUACGCAUCAUCGCUUGUAGUUUUUAUGCUUACAUCGGAUGUCCGUUCUCUGUACGUCAUCUGUGUAUGUUUUGUACCUUAUCUGUGUCUGGUUUCGUGAGAAGGAUUAUUGAUCUACUAUAUUCCCGCUCUUAGUCUUUGUUCUACUUUGCCGUGUGCUGUCUUUGAUUUGUAUUUAUAAGGGUCAAUUUAUUAAAAAAAUGCGCUUCUCUAAUCUUUGCAUUAAAUCCAAAAGGUAUUGAAAUAUCAUGGGCUAAGGAAAUUAACUGUUUCAUAAAAAUAUAAUGUCUGAUAAGAAAGAAACUCAUUAUUUAAAACAAGAUUAAUCUCAGACUAUCGGACUUCGAGGCAUCGUUUGAAAUAAAGUUACUCGAUACAUAGAUAUACAGAAUCAUGGAGAUUUAGAUACAUAAUCUUAUGCAUAAAAAACACAUUAGUAGAAACGUAUAUAUAUGUAUGUAUAUGGCUCAGUGGUUAGAGCGUCGAGCUUACGAUCGUGAGGUUGUGAGCUCGAAUCCCGGACCGGGCUGCGUGUUGUGUUCUCGAGCAAGGCACUUUAUUUCACGUUGCUCCAGUUCACUCAGCUGUAGAAAUGAGUUGCGACGUCACAGGUGCCAAGCUGUAUCGACCUUUGUCUUUCCCUUGGAUAACACUGGUGGCGUGGAGAGGGGAGGCUGGUAUGCAUGGGCGACUGCUAGCCUUCCAUAAACAUCCUUGCCCGGACUUGUGUCUAGGAGGGUAACUUUCUAGGUGCAAUCCCAUGGUCAUUCAUGACCGAAGGGGGUCUUUACCCUUUAUAUAAAAGUACACACACAUAAAUAUAUAUAUAUAUAUAUAGAGAGAAAGAGAGACCUUGUCAUAAGUGAUAUACCUCAAAGGACUUAGUUAAUAUAUGCAUAUAUAGACUUAUUUAACGUCGAGACAUGAUAAUGAAACAAUGGCGAUGAUGAUUAAUAUUUUCAAAAUUAACGGCUAUACUUUCUGUUUUUGCGUCAAAUUGACGUAUAUUAAGUAUUUCAUUAAAUUGUUCUUGUAAAUGUAGAAAAAUGUACUUUUCUUUCGUUGAGAUAUUUCGCUUAUUGAUCGUUUUAUGACCUACAUAGAAAUAAGUAGCACCCACAUAAAAAUUGGUAGCCAGUUGUAGCAAUUAUAUAUUGAUGUUGGCGUUGUUAUCAUUGUUGUUGGUAUUUAUCCCCGGGCCACUUCACAUAGAUCACAACAGAUCUAUGAUCAAACAUAUUCUACUCGUGGCUAUAAGUAUUUUGUCCUUUGAUAGAUACCUAGUUUUCUUUUAGCUACUGUGUCCAUGUAAUUAUAUAAGACAAUAGUAUGUGAUUUACCAGUGAUUUGUCUAAUAUUUCCAGCAUAUAAUACAAGUGCGUAAAGUCUCCUGAAAACAAUAUUUUUAGUAUU
rnacentral:lncRNA from 1 species